CCUACGGGAGGCAGCAGUGAGGAAUAUUGGUCAAUGGGCGCAGGCCUGAACCAGCAAAGUCGCGUGAGGGAAGACUGCCCUAUGGGUUGUAAACUUCUUUUAUAGGGGAAGAAUAAUGACUACGUGUAGUCAGAUGCAUGUACCUUAUGAAUAAGCAUCGGCUAACUCCGUGCCAGCAGCCGCGGUAAUACGGAGGAUGCGAGCGUUAUGCGGAUUUAUUGGGUUUAAAGGGUGAGUAGGUUGGUUUUUAAGGUAGUGGUCAAAGCGUGGGGCUCAAACAUAGUUAGGCCUUUAAUACUGGAAUACUAGAGUAUAGACGAGGUAGGCGGAAUAAGUUGAGUAGCGGUGAAAUGCUUAGAUAUAACGUAGAACCCCGAUAGCGAAGGCAGCUUACCAGACUGUAACUGACGCUGAAGCACGAGAGCGUGGGUAGCGAACAGGAUUAGAUACCCUAGUAGUC
rnacentral:rRNA from 1 species